CAUCUAGUGACGACAUUUACCGGGCUUUAACGGUUGUUGCUGCUUGAAGUCUGCUGCAAUUUCUCUGAGAUUUCUCAAGAUCAUCAGUUUGGACAGAAUUCAUUUGAAGAAUUAAUAGCACUAGCAGGUUCCAAUAAAGGCUGGAACAGAACAGACAGAAAAGAAUCUGUCAGAAGAAAUUCAACUACUGUUCGUGCACCAGAUGGUGAAGUAGAAAAGUUCGUAAAAACUUCUGCAGCUUGCAUCUGACAGAGAUGCAAAAAGAAUAAGAGAGCGGGCCUGAAAACAAGCAAAUUCAAGUCUUUCCUUCUUUUAGGGUACACUUGAGGAGUGUCCAGAUGUUUAUUAAUGUUUUAUUAAUGUAAUGUUAUGUUUCAAAUAAACAUGUAAACAUACUGUAUAUUUUUCUUUCUUUUUUAAACACCUACAGUAAAGUGUGACACUUAACACAUUAAAAGCAUCACAAACAUUGAGGAUAGAACUUC